GGGCUUGUGGUCUAGUGGUAUGAUUUUCCCUUAGCAACGUUGGGAGUUAACACCCAAGUUUCAAGAUGGGAGAGGUCCAGGGUUCAAUUCCCUGCAAGUCCA